GCUUACGGCCAUACCACUUUAGGCACGCCCGAUCUCGUCUGAUCUCGUUCAGGUGCGCAAAGCAGGAAGUGAAGGAAGCAGGAAAAAGUUUGUUGGCAGAGUAGGCUGAUACAGCA
rnacentral:rRNA from 10 species